rnacentral:rRNA from 1 species
UACGUAGGGGGCUAGCGUUGUCCGGAAUCAUUGGGCGUAAAGAGCGUGUAGGCGGUCCGGUAAGUCCGUUGUGAAAGUCAAGGGCUCAACCCUUGAAUGCCGGCGGAUACUGUCGGGCUAGAGUCCGGAAGAGGCGAGUGGAAUUCCCGGUGUAGCGGUGAAAUGCGCAGAUAUCGGGAGGAGCACCUAUGGCGAAGGCAGCUCGCUGGGACGGUACUGACGCUGAGACGCGAAAGCGUGGGGAGCAAACAGG